GAUGAACGCUGGCGGCGUGCCUAAUACAUGCAAGUCGAGCGGACGGACGAGAAGCUUGCUUCUCUGAUGUUAGCGGCGGACGGGUGAGUAACACGUGGAUAACCUACCUAUAAGACUGGGAUAACUUCGGGAAACCGGAGCGAAUACCGGAGGAUAGUUUGAACCGCAGGGUUCAAAAGUGAAAGACGGUCGUUCGGUCACUUAUAGAUGGAUCCGCGCGGCAGUAGCUAGUUGGUAAGGUAACGGCUUAGCAAGGCAACGAUGCAUAGCCGAACUGAAAGGCUGAUAGGCGACACUGGAACUGAGACACGGACCCGACUACUACGGGAGGCAGCAGUCGGGAAUGUUACGCAAUGGGGGAAAGCAUGACGGAGUGACGGAGCGUGAGAGGUGACGGUGCUGCGAUCGUGAUACCCUGUUAUUAGGGAAGAACAUCUGUCUACGUAAAUGUGCACAUCUUGACGGUACCUACUGAGAAAGCAACGGCUAACUACGUG
rnacentral:rRNA from 1 species